AAUUAACGAAUCCAUAUGCUUAAUGCUGAAUGACACAUCAAUGUGUGCACUGGCUCAGAUCAAUCGUAAUCACAACAUCCCUUCAGUAGUAUGUACAUUUGCUAAGUUUUUGUAGUGACAGAGAAUAAUAGCAUGACAUACGUACAUUCAAAACCCGACCAGUUUCCAUUGCUAUCAUGCCCAAGGGAAUUGUCACAGAUCUACUGAUCCUAAGUUACUUUGAUCCCAGCAUUAUCAACGUAGCAGACACAAGCAAAAUGGUAGAUUCUGAUUUUCCCACCUGGGUGCAUCCAUCUUGCCCGUCGAUAGGAGGAGAGCUCUUCCUUCUGCCCUGAAAACGUCGAUCCCUGGAGAAAGGACUUCCAUCCACGUCCUCACCAAAGGGACCUGUAAAAGCACAAAAACACAAGCGGGAAACAACUCAAGACCAAAGGAAACAUCAAUUUCCACCGCUCACAUCAACUUUUCUUACCAUCUCAUCGGUUGCAGAAGGAAAGCCUCGUGGCCCGUGCCGCGGCCGCGGACACUCCCUGCCCCGGCGACGAUGGCGGACGACGAGUCAGGGGCCCCGACCAGGUAGGCGUGCUGGAUGAGGUCGACGCCGGCAGGUGGGGCGGAGGGGCAGCAACGGAG
rnacentral:lncRNA from 1 species